UACGUAGGGGGCUAGCGUUGUCCGGAUUUAUUGGGCGUAAAGAGCGUGUAGGCGGCCAGGUAGGUCUGGUGUGAAAGUCGGGGGCUCAACCCUCGAAUGCCGGUGGAUACUGUCGGGCUAGAGUGCGGAAGAGGCGAGUGGAAUUCCUGGUGUAGCGGUGAAAUGCGCAGAUAUCAGGAGGAACACCUAUUGCGAAGGCAGCUCGCUGGGACGUAACUGACGCUGAGACGCGAAAGCGUGGGGAGCAAACAGG
rnacentral:rRNA from 1 species